ACCCUGGAAAGCUCACCUGGUUAGAGUGUGGUGCUGAUGAUGCCAAGGUUGCAGGUUCAAUCCUUGUAUGGGGCA